ACUGUAUAAUCAUAGCCGAUUAAUAAGCGCGUAUUUUUGUAAAUAUAUACCAUAUAAGGAUUAUCGAGUACCGACGGCAGUUUUACUUCGGCAUCAGAUCGAAGUGUGGCAUCGCUCGAGAUGACACGGAUCUGGCUUGUUGCAUGUUUGGUGCUUGUGGCGUAUCUUCAAGUAGCAUCUUGUGAUGGCGGUAAAUGUGUACAGCACUCCGAAUGUCCAGAGAAAAUGGCGUGCGACAGCGAAAGCUCCCAGUGUGUGGAUCCGUGCCUCACACAUCGAAAAUGUGUAACGGCGGCUACUUGUAUUGUCGAUGAUGAGCAUUUGGCCAAAUGCCGAUGCGAUCCAGGAACUAUAGGUAACCCCUACGAGAGUUGCAGCUCCUCCACAUACAAUAUACUUACUGAAGGACUCAGGGCUGGAUUUUAGGGGAGGGCAACCGGGGCUACAGCCCCGAGGUGUCCACAAAAGAGGGGCCCCCCACAAUAGAGACUAAUUUGGGGCCAGGGGGCCUCCACUCCUUUGUUGCCCCGAGGCCUCCAGACCUCUAAAUUCGGCAUUGAAAGGACUAGCAGGUUAGGUUAAUAUACUUGUUUGUGUUUACACAAUAGGUAUUUAGAUCACGGACGAGACGCCAUAUAUUGAAUAUACUGGGCAUAGAUAAAUAAGUAUUUCUCUAUGAUAUUGGGUGACUUUGGGGUCGUAAACUCGAAUGUCAAAAAUGUAUUAAGUACUACUGAACAAGUUUUCCCAUGGUACCAACAUGAAAAUCGGGAAAAAUAUACACUUACCUACCUCUACAUGGAUAGCAUGGUCGCGUUUUAAUCGUUUGUCACUAUAUGUAUAUCUACACACUUGUUAAAUCGUGACAGGCAUCGUGACAGACGAUAAAAAUCCCUAUUGCAUUUCAUUCACUUUGGGCCAUCAAGGUGUCCAUUAGAUUUUUUUGUGAUUUUAUUUUGUUGUUGUUGUGUCAGAUUUGUGGGUAGUCCCAUGGGGAAAUUUGUUUAGUAUGACCAUCUCAACACAUUUUUGAUAUUCAGUAGGAUCACUAUCCCAAAAUCACCUAGUAGAAUAGUUUUCAGUUGUAGCAGUCAAAUUUGUGCAACUCUCAACAUCUACAUAUCAGGGCUAGAAGGAAAGUGUGCGGAAAGAUAAUCAAUAGUCGUGGAAUGUAUGGGGCCUAAUACAUUCCACGACCCUUCUCUUUCCGAACAGACUUCUACGAGUACAACCAUGAAAAUCGAAGUUCAACAU